GCAAAGUCAAGUGUAGACAGAAAUACUGGACUAGGUUUUGUGAAGUGAUACCCCUUGCAGGCUACCAGUUACCUUGUUUCUGGGAAAUGAUGAAGUCACUGGAGGGGAGUCUGGCCUUUGGCAGCAGCUGGACUGUGACUUCUGGCUGUGGCACAUAGUGGUCUGUAGGACAAUUGUGGCAAGAGUCAGGACCAUGGAGAGCUCCUAUGGAAAAAGAUUCCAGACUCACUGACCACAUUCACAUGUCAUGAUUGAUUUACCAGGACAGUUGCGUUUUAACACUACAGACCUUACUACUUAGCAGUGUUAAAGGAUCUACUGUAUAAUAAAGUUCCUGUUGUUUAC